GGAUUAGCGGCGGACGGGUGAGUAACACGUGAGAAACCUGCCUUUCACAAGGGGAUAGCCUCGGGAAACCGGGAUUAAUACCCUAUGACACAUUUCCUUCGCAUGAAAGAAAUGUUAAAACUCCGGUGGUGAAAGAUGGUCUCGCGUCUGAUUAGCUAGUUGGUGGGGUAACGGCCUACCAAGGCCAUGAUCAGUAACCGGCCUGAGAGGGUGAACGGUCACAUUGGAACUGAGACACGGUCCAAACUCC
rnacentral:rRNA from 1 species